GUGGCAGGUGACCGGAGAGAAAGGGGUCUUCUGCAGGAGAAACACCUUGGGAAGCUCUGCACGCAAAGAUGGAGGAAAACGUGUGAGGAGGGCAGGAAAGAUGGAGAGAAUGUGUAAGAAAGAGCAUGUGUAGAGAGAGGACAAUGUACCGGUUCUCGUCAGGAAGUCCCUCCCGUUCCUCAAAUGUGUCUUCAACACAACAGGACACUUCUUAGUGUGGGUAAUCUUCUUGACUUUAUUAAGCCCGUCAAUUUGGUCCCACUUCAAUUUGGUGAUGAAAGCUUGUGGAUGUGCUGCGAUCCAUGUCAUCGUCUUC